rnacentral:ncRNA from 1 species
GCUCUCUGGAGAAUCCCGCGUCAACGGGUGCCGAAGGGGCAAGGCCACGGGCCGAAACUCUCAGGCAAAAGGACAGAGGCUG